AUGACAAUACACCCACCUUAUCCGCCCGGGAACUACGAGCAUUAGCUUAAAACCCAAAGGACUUGACGGUGCUUUAGAUCCAUCUAGAGGAGCCUGUUCUGGAACCGAUACUCCCCGUUCAACCUCACCUUUCCUUGCCCCAUUCCGUCUAUAUACCGCCGUCGUCAGCUUACCCUUUGAAGAUCUUGUAGUGAGCACAAUCGGCACAGCCCAAAACGCCAGGUCGAGGUGUAGCGAAUGGAAAGGGAUAGAAAUGGGCUACAUUCAAUAAAACAUAAUGAAUACGGAUGAUGUCCUGAAAACGAUAUCUGAAGGAGGAUUUAGCAGUAAGUAGAGAAUAGAGAGCUUUACUGAAACUCGGCUCUGAAGCGCGUACACACCGCCCGUCACUCUCUCCAAGCUUACAAAGAACAUUACUAAUAAAUAAGACCUGCAAAGGGGAGGCAAGUCGUAACAUGGUAAGCGUACCGGAAGGUGCGCUUGG
rnacentral:rRNA from 1 species